rnacentral:rRNA from 1 species
CCUGAGAAACCCAAAAGAUCGAUCGGGGAGAUUCAUCGUCAGCGAUCCCGGCGUGUGGGACGGUACGCGAUGCCGCUGGACUUCGGUCCCGUGGCACGCGUCCUUCCAUGGUUCGAUCUCAGCCGGGUGUCGUCGGCGUGCACUUCUCCCCUCGUAGGACGUCGCGACCCGUUGGGUGUCGGUCUACGGCCCGCGUGGUAGCCUGUCGUGCGUCGCGCCUCGUGCCGACACGCGGCAGACCCCGGUUGCCCGACCGACUGCCCGGUGGUACUCGCACGGUAUCGGGCCGCAAAUAUUUGAACUGCGUCCGGCCCGCCGCAAGCGCGGUCAGUGUUUUCCGGAUGUGCGGACCUAGCGCCGUCACCGGGCCUGGCCAGCUGUUGGCCGGCGGUGUCCUGGGACUGGCUCAUAAUUAAGAUACCGGUCGGCGACGCUACUGCUUUGGGUACUUUCAGGA